AGCCACCACUUGCUAUUUCAUUUGUUAAGCGUCAACUUAAACUAGAGCAGCCCCUUUAUCGCAUUGCUCUCUUUUUACUCAUGAUUUCUGACUUUUCUUUGACUACCCUCAAUGAUUAGCGAAAGGAAAGAAAAGAAAUCAAAAUUUCCAUUAGCUUUCUUCUUUCAAAACUUUCUGUUUUUUGAGAUCCAAAAAGAUUCAUGGAUUGCCUGACUCCAAUACUGGACAUCGGUACUCGCUUGUGGGACUGCAGUUCCAAGCAUGUGGCAUUUAUCCACAAUCUCGAAGAAAAUCUUCAAAAGUUGCGAACAGAAAUGGAAGCACUCAACUGCCGCAGACAUGAUGUAUGGUGCAGGGUAGAAGCCGCUGAGCAACAACCACGAAUGAGGCGUACGGAAGAAGUGGAUAGAUGGCUGGAAAGUGCGAAAACCAUGGAUAAUGAAUUACAUGAAAUUAUUCAAGAAGGCGAUCAGGAACUCCAAAAUAAAUGUGUCGGAAGUUGCUGUCCCAAGAACCUAAAGUCCAGCUAUAAGAUUGGAAAGCGAAUCAUUAAGAAGAUAAGUUCUGUGGAGGACCUACUCAAGCAGGGUGAACCUUACUGCUCAGACUCCGCGGUUGCUGUGAAGCUGCCACGUAAGCGGCUUCUAAUCCCAGAGUGGCCUGUGGAGAACACUGUUGGCCUGGACUCCACACUGGAAAGGGUAUGGAGAUGCAUCGAGGAUGAAAAUAUUAGAAUUAUUAGGUUUUGUGGAAUCGGAGGUGUUGGAAAAACGACCCUCCUGAAGAAAGUUAGCAAUGAAUUCCAUAGGCGGAGCCAUGACUUUGAUGCUGUCAUUUGGGCCAUGGUGCCUAGACAAGAGAAUUAUAUAGAGAAAGUUCAAGAGGUGAUUAGGAAGAAAUUGGAAAUCCCUGAUUCCAUAUGGGAUCAGUGUUCAGGCGAGGACGAGAAAGGGGCUUAUAUAUUUAGUGUCUUGAAAAGUAAAAAGUUUGUGCUACUUUUGGACAAUGUAUGGGAGCAAUUCAACCUCCUAACUCUGGGCAUCCAUCCGCGGAAUGAUCAAAAUCAGAACAAAGUAAUAUAUACAGCCCGCUCACUAGGGUUGUCCUUCGACGUGGAAGCUCUAGUGACAAUUGAAGUCGAGCGUUUGCCACCGGAACAAGCUCUGAGUUUAUUUAGGACGACUGUAGGUGAAAGUAUCCUCAGUACCGAUCCAGAUCUCUCGGAUUUGGCAAAUACUUUUGUUAGAAGGUGCGGAGGGUUGCCACUUGCUCUUCUCACUGUCGCUGGAGCCAUGGCUUGUCGGAAAAAUCUUCGUGAAUGGCGCCACACGGUUGAGCUGUUACAUACCCACCCAUCAGAGAUUGCAGGUAUGGGGGGUUAUGUGUUUCCUCUUCUCAAGUUUAGCUACGAUAACUUGAACGAAGCGUCGGCUCAAAACUGUUUUCUAUAUUGUUCCUUAUUUCCAGAGGCUUAUAACAUCCGAAUAGAUGAACUUAUUGACCUCUGGAUAGGAGAAGGUUUCUUAGAUGGAGCAGAUCCAUGCGGGCAGGGAGAAUAUAUAGUUGGGACUUUAAAGCUUGCGUAUUUGCUAGAAAGUGAUGAAUCUAAACAAUGUGUUCGGAUGCAUGACAUAGUCCGUCACAUGGCCUUGUGGUUGGCCCGAGACCAAGGAAAAAACAAGAACAAGGUUUUGGUAGCAAAAAGUGGAAGGAUUACAGACCAGGAACUCACAAAAUGGGAAGAGGCGAAUUGGAUUUCCUUGUUUGGUGGUAGUAGCAGAGUGAAAAUAGACUACUCACCAUCUUGCCAUUAUCUCUCAACUUUGCUCUUAAGAGAUGCACAGCUGGAAUCAUUUCCCAAAGGAUUCUUUGACUCUAUGCCAGCUUUGAAGGUUUUGGAUUUGUCAGGUAAUCGAGGCUUAGUUGAGUUACCUUCCAAUAUUGGAAAUGUGACAACCUUGCGGUAUCUUAAUCUGUCAUUGACAAGCAUAGCAAAGUUGCCUACUGGCCUUGGAAAUUUAAGAAACCUCAGAUGUUUGCUAUUAGAUUAUACUGUGAAUCUUAAAUGGAUUCCAAAGGAGUUGAUAUCCAAUCUUUUAUGCUUGCAAGUUUAUAGUAAAAUAAAUGGAGUCACAGAGGACUUUCUCUCAGUCAAAGUUCCGCCUUCUGCUGCUGAAAUUGCAUUUUUAGAAGUGUUGGAGGGCUUGGGUGACAUAAAGAAAAUAGGUAUCACCUUAUUAUGUGCACCUUCUUUUGAAAAAAUUUUGAGAUCCUGCACUUUACGGAGUUGUAUCAGAAAAUUAAUAUUCAUAGAAUGUACCUGCUUGAUUUCAAUAUAUUUUACAGAAGAAUUAAGUAAUCUAGAAAGGCUUGAGAUAUGUCAUUGUAGUUCACUCAAGGAGUUCAAGGUAUCAGAAGGGUGUAAACUUGGUAACCUCAGUAAGGUAUACAUAGGAGUUUGCCCGCUGUUGUUAAACCUUAAUUGCCUUGCUUAUGUUAGAAACCUUGAGAUUCUUACCAUUGUUGACUGUAAGUCGCUGAAGGAAGUUACAAGUGAGACAAUGGCAUUCCCUGGGCUGAAAACUAUUUCUUUGACUCGUCUGAAAAAUCUGAAAAGCAUCUGUCCAUCGCCCAGUUGCUUUCCUUCUCUGUUAGAAAUUGAAGUAUCUAAGUGCCCAUCGCUGAGGCAGCUUCCAUUUGAUGUGGAAAGUGCAAAUUUCUUACAGAAAAUUAGAGGAGAAACAGAGUGGUGGGAUGGCUUGGUUUGGGAUGAUGAAGCCGUUAAGGAUGCUUGUCUCUUGAAGUUUAUAUCAACUCCAUUCGAACUCUUGCAAAUAAAGAAAGAUGAUGCUUUCCCCAAAACCAGUUCGUUCAAGGAUGGAGUUCAAAUUGUCACUCAGACCGAAGCUGAAACUCCUCCACCCGCUAAGCUAUCCAAAACAGAUACAUACAAUCAGUUGAAUUUAGAAGACACAGAGGCUCUUGAAUAUCAUAAUUCACGAAAGGAAAUGAUGAAGAAAGGAAAGGGAACUUUAAGGCCUAAUUUGAAGCUUUUUCUUCCUUCUCCCGCAGACAUCUCCUUCCCCAAAUUUCCAACCGAAAGCGGUACAUUCAAAGACGGCGAUCUCCUCGUCAACAAGGACGGAGUUCGGAUUGUCUCUCAAUCCGAACCUGAAGCGCGUCCGCCUAUAAAGCCAUCAGAAGCUGACAUGGACAAUCAGUUGAAUUUAGAAGAUAUUGAUGCGAUUAAAGUUAUCAGCAAUGGUAAUGGUAGAAUUGUGCAAUUGGUCCAACACAAAUGGACUGGCCAGUUUUUUGCAUUGAAGAUUAUUCAAAUGAAUAUUGAGGAGUCAGCUCGCAAGCAGAUUGCAAUCGAAUUGAAAAUAAAUCAAUCCUCUCAGUGUCCGUAUGUUGUUGUUUGUUAUCAGUCUUUCUAUACGAAUGGUGUCAUUUCAAUCAUCUUGGAGUAUAUGGAUGGUGGAUCCCUAGCAGAUUUUCUGAAAAAGGUUAAAUCCAUUCCCGAACCCUAUCUUGCUGCAAUAUGUAAGCAGGUGCUCAAGGGUUUGAUGUAUCUUCAUCAUGAAAAACACAUUAUCCACCGAGACUUAACGCCUUCUAAGUUGUUAAUAAAUCAUAGAGGGGAAGUCAAGAUCACCGACUUCCACGUGAGUGCAAUACUGGCUAGCCCCUCAGAAAGAGCAAACACUUUUGUUGGCACAUACACCUGUAUGUCUCCAGAGAGAAUUGUGGGAGCAAGUUAUGGCAUUAAAGCUGACAUUUGGAGCUUGGGCCUAGUGUUGCUUGAGUGUGCAACCGGUAAAUUCCCAUAUACCCCACCAGAGCAGGCAGAAGGAUGGACUAACUUGUAUGAGCUUAUGGAACGAAUUGUUGAAGAAUCACCACCUUGUGCACCUUCCGAGCAAUUUUCUCCUGAGUUUUGCUCAUUUAUUUCUGCAUGCUGUCGGUUCUUUUAUCUAUUACAGCCUACAGAAGGACCCAAAGGAAAGAAAGUCUGCGCGUGAACUGUUGGUACAUUCUUUCUUGAACAUGUACGAUGACUUGCAUGUGGACCUCUCAUCCUACUUCAGCAAUGCAAAAUCACCACUUGAAAGCCUUUAGAACCUAUCUGACCGAACAAAUAGCAUGUCAGACUAAAGAAAAUCGUUGGAGGAACCCAAAGUUUGUAAAAGCAUGGAAGACUUCUUCUUGUCAUUGUGAUUUGUAGCUGAAGCGAGGCCAAAGCUUUUGAAGCAUUCAAGGAUUCUCAGAAAAUGUCGUAGUGACAGGGGACUCAGUUUGCAAGGAACAGCUCGCCGCUGUGUGUUAAUUGGUUCAUAAUCGAAUAGUAAUGCUGUCUUAUAUCAUCAAGAACCAAAAAAAAAAAAAGGUGUAUAGACUUGCUGAAAAUGAAAUUGUACUGGAUCGGAGAAUGGCAAGUGUGAAAUUAUUAACUUGCCUAAUUGUAUUGAAUUUUGUUAACAUAAUUUACCAUGGUUUGACCCCUGAGGUCUGGCAAGUAAAGGGGGAUCUGAUUAGCUAAUUGGCAUUGAUA